rnacentral:rRNA from 1 species
GCACUCGACCUUCGGGUCACAUGAGUGAGUGGCGAACGGGUGAGUAACACGUGAGAAACCUGCCCCGAAGACUGGAAUAACCCGAGGAAACUCGGGCUAAUACCGGAUAUCCCCACCAGGUCGCAUGGCCAGGUGAGGAAAUGCUCAGGCGCUUCGGGAGGGUCUCGCGGCCUAUCAGCUAGUUGGUGAGGUAACGGCUCACCAAGGCAACGACGGGUAGCUGGUCUGAGAGGACGAUCAGCCACACUGGGACUGAGACACGGCCCAGACUCCUACGGGAGGCAGCAGUGGGGAAUCUUGCGCAAUGGGCGAAAGCCUGACGCAGCCACGCCGCGUGAGGGAUGAAGGCUUUCGGGUUGUAAACCUCUUCCAGCAGGGACGAAAAUGACGGUACCUGCAGAAGAAGCUCCGGCCAACUACGUGCCAGCAGCCGCGGUAACACGUAGGGAGCAAGCGUUGUCCGGAUUUAUUGGGCGUAAAGAGCUCGUAGGCGGUUCGGUAAGUCGGGUGUGAAAACUUGAGGCUCAACCUCAAGAGGCCACUCGAUACUGCUGUGACUGGAGUCCGGUAGAGGAGUGUGGAAUUCCUGGUGUAGCGGUGAAAUGCGCAUAUAUCAGGAGGAACACCGACAGCGAAGGCAGCACUCUGGGCCGGUACUGACGCUGAGGAGCGAAAGCAUGGGGAGCGAAC